AAACGCAGUGAACUUAUCACUGAUGACUGUCCAUGACAUUACUUUGAUUAUAGGUUUUUCAAUGAGAUUAAACUCAAAUUUUCAAUUUAUUUGUAUUUCUUUUACUUAUACAAUGCAGCCAUAGAGACCCUAACAAAUAAAAAUAAAUAAAAAUUGGAAGCUUUUAAAUUAUUUUUAUUUCAUUAUUUUAACAAUCAUAAAACUUACUACAAUUGUUUCCACACUGAUAUUCUUUAAUAAUUCAAACGGCAAGCCAUGACUGCAUCAUGCUUUCUUUAUCCAGAUUGGUGAACAGCUAUUGCAAACCGCAGCGUUGUUGUGUAUUAUGAUGUUCACUGAACGCUGUGUGUCCAGCACGAAUAAACGUCUAGAGUCAAUGCAAUCAAUGGCUUCAAUUCAUUAGGUCUGCUCAAGUGUAUCUCUUAGGUGGGCUAUGGCCCUUGUCAUUAGCUAAUAAUUCAUCCAUUUGAGAGUCUCACAACUUCUUCUCUUCAACAAAUGCCUCCGGCUAUAAACACUAAUGAAAUAUCUUUGGCUAAUUUGAUUUUACUGGUAUACUUGCAGUUAUGGUUGAACUUUCCCACGAGAUGGGCUGAUUGAAGGGUCUCAGAUCCUAUAACGGAAGGGGGAAAACAUUCAGAGCAUUUCCAUAAUUACCCAAUUGGCAGCCUAAUGACCUUCCAGAACAAUAAAAAGAUCUCUUGUUAAUUCCAUCUUUCAUGCUGACAUUCACUAGAUUUUUAUCUUAUAUGUUGAAGUUCACAAGAUAACAAGUGUACUCUCUUAUUUUUUUCCUCACCAGAGAGCGGUCCAUUCAAUUAUCCCCUGCACAACUCUUGUCAGCAAAUGAAAGAGAUUUGCUUGUCGCCCUCAUCACAAAGUUGGAUAAUUUAUAGCCUUCUUGGGUUAUAAAGAUGGGGUUUCGAGCAUUUUGAAUGGUGAGUGCUGUUUCCUGCCUGCUUGAAAAUAAUGGAUGCGCCACAGAGUACCACAAUGUACCAUUAAAGAUCAUCCUCAACCUAACCACAGACUCCACUCUUCUCCGCAAUGCACGUUAAGCUCUCUCGGCCACUGACAAAAGUGUUCACAGAGCCUUGUAUGAUCACCACCAUGAUAAACCACCGAAGACAAUGUUUUUGGUUGCUUUUCUGGACUUCGUUUCGUGAUCGUUUCUGUCAUUGGGAUUGAGAGAGCUCACCGAUUUCAUCUAAAAUAUCCUAAUAUGUGUUUAGAAAAUUAAUAAAUGUCUCAGGGUAUUGGAAUGAUUUGAGGGUAAGUAAUUUAAUGACCUUUAUUUCCUAAGAGAAAUAGUAAUAUAAUCAAGCUAUUUAAGGAAAACUAAUGUUGAAAAUAGUGUUGUGUUUCUUCAUAAAUUGACUUUGUAAUGUUUUGUUUCUGAUAUAAUGUUACAUAUACUAUACUGUAAGCAUUUAUUAAAAUAGAAAAGUACCACUUAACCAUGUGAAUAAGGGAAGGCAGUAUUGCACACGUGUUUAUUGUAAGCAUCACUGAGUCAAGCUCAUUAGCAGAGUGUGAAAAAACAGCAACAGAGGUGUCAUUGUUUCUCACCAAACCGUGUCACCAGUUGGGUUUGAUGCUGAGACUUUUCACAAUUCCCUUGCAACUAUAUUUAGCAAAUUUCAUGGCUUGAACAUCUGCAUUUGCCCCUUUAAAUAAAGAAGCAGGAAAGAAGCAUCUUCUGUUUUGAAGUGCAUCAACCCACAUCUCUGGGGAAAAACAAAUUAAACAUGGGUAUGAAGUCAAUGUUUCAUAAAGACUCAGACUUAGAACAAAAUCUUGUUUAUGUAUUACUUUGAAUACUCUUU